GUAGCAAGCUAAGUGGGCUUGAUUAUGGGGAAAACUCCACAGUUAAGCACGCUUGAGCCAGAGGUGUCCUGGGAUGGGUGACCACUUGGGAAGUCUUGGUUACUGGGUGCA
rnacentral:rRNA from 1 species